ACCAGACUCCUACGGGAGGCAGCAGUGGGGGAUAUUGCACAAUGGGGGGAACCCUGAUGCAGCGACGCCGCGUGGGUGAAGAAGCGCCUCGGCGCGUAAAGCCCUGUCAGCAGGGAAGAAAAUGACGGUACCUGAAGAAGAAGCCCCGGCUAACUACGUGCCAGCAGCCGCGGUAAUACGUAGGGGGCAAGCGUUAUCCGGAUUUACUGGGUGUAAAGGGGGCGCAGACGGCGAUGCAAGCCAGGAGUGAAAGCCCGGGGCCCAACCCCGGGACUGCUCUUGGAACUGCGUGGCUGGAGUGCAGGAGGGGCAGGCGGAAUUCCUGGUGUAGCGGUGAAAUGCGUAGAUAUCAGGAGGAACACCGGUGGCGAAGGCGGCCUGCUGGACUGCAACUGACGUUGAGGCCCGAAAGCGUGGGGAGCAAACAGGAUUAGAUACCCGUGUAA
rnacentral:rRNA from 1 species